GAUGAACGCUGGCGGCGUGCCUAAUACAUGCAAGUCGAGCGAACAGACGAGGAGCUUGCUCCUCUGACGUUAGCGGCGGACGGGUGAGUAACACGUGGAUAACCUACCUAUAAGACUGGGAUAACUUCGGGAAACCGGAGCUAAUACCGGAUAAUAUAUUGAACCGUAUGGUUCAAUAGUGAAAGACGGUUUUGCUGUCACUUAUAGAUGUAUCCGCGCCGCAUUAGCUAGUUGGUAAGGUAACGGCUUACCAAGGCAACGAUGCGUAGCCGACCUGAGAGGGUGAUCGGCCACACUGGAACUGAGACACGGUCCAGACUCCUACGGGAGGCAGCAGUAGGGAAUCUUCCGCAAUGGGCGAAAGCUUGACGGAGCAACGCCGCGUGAGUGAUGAAGGUCUUCGGAUCGUAAAACUCUGUUAUUAGGGAAGAACAAAUGUGUAAGUAACUAUGCACGUCUUGACGGUACCUAAUCAGAAAGCCACGGCUAACUACGUG
rnacentral:rRNA from 1 species